rnacentral:rRNA from 1 species
AUUGACGCUGGCGGCAUGCCUUACACAUGCAAGUCGAACGGCAGCACGGGUGGUUGCACCUGGGGGCGAGUGGCGAACGGGUGAGUAAUACAUUGGAACAUGUCCUGUAGGGGGGGAUAGCCCGGCGAAAGCCGGAUUAAUACCGCAUACGAUCUACGGAUGAAAGCGGGGGACCUUCGGGCCUCGCGCCAUAGGGUUGGCCGAUGGCUGAUUAGCUAGUUGGUGGGGUAAAGGCCUACCAAGGCGACGAUCAGUAGCUGGUCUGAGAGGACGACCAGCCACACUGGGACUGAGACACGGCCCAGACUCCUACGGGAGGCAGCAGUGGGGAAUUUUGGACAAUGGGCGAAAGCCUGAUCCAGCAAUGCCGCGUGUGUGAAGAAGGCCUUCGGGUUGUAAAGCACUUUUGUCCGGAAAGAAAUCCUUGGCCCUAAUACGGUCGGGGGAUGACGGUACCGGAAGAAUAAGCACCGGCUAACUACGUG